rfam:Intoshia linei isolate Intl2013 Contig_15177, whole genome shotgun sequence.
AUAUACGGCCAUACCAAGAUGGAAACACCUGUUCUCAUUUGAUCACAGAAGUUAAGCAUCUUUGGGUUUGGUUAGAACCUGGAUCAGUGACCACCUUGGAAAACCAAGUGUCGUAUAUA